rnacentral:rRNA from 1 species
AAGCUAAUUAGAUAAAUUUCCCCCUUUGGGAUUCUAUCCCGAGGGCUGUGCCUGUCUGAGGGUCGG